CCUACGGGUGGCAGCAGUGAGGAAUAUUGGUCAAUGGACGAGAGCCUGAACCAGCCAAGUCGCGUGAAGGAUGAAUGAUCUAUGGUUUGUAAACUUCUUUUAUAUGGGAAUAAAGUGAUGAACGUGUGCCUUUUUGUAUGUACCAUAUGAAUAAGCAUCGGCUAACUCCGUGCCAGCAGCCGCGGUAAUACGGAGGAUGCGAGCGUUAUCCGGAUUUAUUGGGUUUAAAGGGUGCGUAGGUGGUUUAUUAAGUCAGCGGUGAAAGUUUGCGGCUCAACCGUAAAAUUGCCGUUGAAACUGGUUGACUUGAGUAUAUUAGAGGUAGGCGGAAUUCGUGGUGUAGCGGUGAAAUGCAUAGAUAUCACGAAGAACUCCGAUUGCGAAGGCAGCUCACUAGACUAUAACUGACACUGAAGCACGAAAGCGUGGGGAUCAAACAGGAUUAGAUACCCCGGUAGUC
rnacentral:rRNA from 1 species